rnacentral:pre_miRNA from 1 species
UAAGGUGCAUCUUGUGUAGUUAGUGAAGUAGUCUAGUAUCUACUGCGCUAGAUGUUCCUUUUGGC